CAACUACUCCCCCGUUCGGAAUUACUUGUCACAAAAAUGAAUGUAUCUAUAACUAAAAUACAUCUAGAUACAUUCAUUUCUUGGACGAGUAAUUCCGAACGGAGGAAGUAUGUU
rfam:Triticum aestivum genome assembly, contig: Triticum_aestivum_CS42_TGACv1_scaffold_621805_7DS